AUUGAACGCUGGCGGCAGGCCUAACACCUGCAAGUAGAACGCGUGGCGGACGGGUGAGUAAUGUAUGGGAAACUGCCUGAUGGAGGGGGAUAACUACUGGAAACGGUGGCUAAUACCGCAUACCAUCAGAUGUGCCCAUAUGGGAUUAGCUUGUUGGUGGGGUAACGGCUCACCUAGGCGACGAUCUCUAGCUGGUCUGAGAGGAUGACCAGCCACACUGGAACUGAGACACGGCCCAGACUCCUACGGGAGGCAGCAGUGGGGAAUAUUGCACAAUGGGCGCAAGCCUGAUGCAGCCAUGCCGCGUGUAUGAAGAAGGCCUUCGGGUUGUAAAGUACUUUCAGCGGGGAGGCGUUACCCGCAGAAGAAGCACCGGCUAACUCCGUGCCAGCAGCCGCGGUAAUAC
rnacentral:rRNA from 1 species